AGUGAACGCUGGCGGUAGGCCUAACACAUGCAAGUCGAACGGCAGCACAGUAAGAGCUUGCUCUUACGGGUGGCGAGUGGCGGACGGGUGAGGAAUACAUCGGAAUCUACUUUUUCGUGGGGGAUAACGUAGGGAAACUUACGCUAAUACCGCAUACGACCUACGGGUGAAAGCAGGGGAUCUUCGGACCUUGCGCGAUUGAAUGAGCCGAUGUCGGAUUAGCUAGUUGGCGGGGUAAAGGCCCACCAAGGCGACGAUCCGUAGCUGGUCUGAGAGGAUGAUCACCCACACUGGAACUGAGACACGGUCCAGACUCCUACGGGAGGCAGCAGUGGGGAAUAUUGGACAAUGGGCGCAAGCCUGAUCCAGCCAUACCGCGUGGGUGAAGAAGGCCUUCGGGUGGUAAAGCCCUUUUGUUGGGAAAGAAAAGCAGCAGGUUAAUACCCCGCUGUUCUGACGGUACCCAAAGAAUAAGCACCGGCUAACUUCGUG
rnacentral:rRNA from 1 species